rnacentral:rRNA from 1 species
GACGAACGCUGGCGGCGUGCUUAACACAUGCAAGUCGAACGGAAAGGCCCUGCUUUUGUGGGGUGCUCGAGUGGCGAACGGGUGAGUAACACGUGAGUAACCUGCCCUUGACUUUGGGAUAACUUCGGGAAACUGGGGCUAAUACCGGAUAGGAGCUCCUGCUGCAUGGUGGGGGUUGGAAAGUUUCGGCGGUUGGGGAUGGACUCGCGGCUUAUCAGCUUGUUGGUGGGGUAGUGGCUUACCAAGGCUUUGACGGGUAGCCGGCCUGAGAGGGUGACCGGCCACAUUGGGACUGAGAUACGGCCCAGACUCCUACGGGAGGCAGCAGUGGGGAAUAUUGCACAAUGGGCGGAAGCCUGAUGCAGCAACGCCGCGUGCGGGAUGACGGCCUUCGGGUUGUAAACCGCUUUCGCCUGUGACGAAGCGUGAGUGACGGUAAUGGGUAAAGAAGCACCGGCUAACUACGUGCCAGCAGCCGCGGUGAUACGUAGGGUGCGAGCGUUGUCCGGAUUUAUUGGGCGUAAAGGGCUCGUAGGUGGUUGAUCGCGUCGGAAGUGUAAUCUUGGGGCUUAACCCUGAGCGUGCUUUCGAUACGGGUUGACUUGAGGAAGGUAGGGGAGAAUGGAAUUCCUGGUGGAGCGGUGGAAUGCGCAGAUAUCAGGAGGAACACCAGUGGCGAAGGCGGUUCUCUGGGCCUUUCCUGACGCUGAGGAGCGAAAGCGUGGGGAGCGAACAGGCUUAGAUACCCUGGUAGUCCACGCUGUAAACGGUGGGUACUAGGUGUGGGGUCCAUUCCACGGGUUCCGUGCCGUAGCUAACGCUUUAAGUACCCCGCCUGGGGAGUACGGCCGCAAGGCUAAAACUCAAAGGAAUUGACGGGGCCCCGCACAAGCGGCGGAGCAUGCGGAUUAAUUCGAUGCAACGCGUAGAACCUUACCUGGGUUUGACAUGGAUCGGGAGUGCUCAGAGAUGGGUGUGCCUCUUUUGGGGUCGGUUCACAGGUGGUGCAUGGCUGUCGUCAGCUCGUGUCGUGAGAUGUUGGGUUAAGUCCCGCAACGAGCGCAACCCUUGUUCACUGUUGCCAGCACGUUAUGGUGGGGACUCAGUGGAGACCGCCGGGGUCAACUCGGAGGAAGGUGGGGAUGACGUCAAGUCAUCAUGCCCCUUAUGUCCAGGGCUUCACGCAUGCUACAAUGGCUGGUACAGGGAGUGGCGAGCCUGUGAGGGUGAGCGAAUCUCGGAAAGCCGGUCUCAGUUCGGAUUGGGGUCUGCAACUCGACCUCAUGAAGUCGGAGUCGCUAGUAAUCGCAGAUCAGCAACGCUGCGGUGAAUACGUUCCCGGGGCU